AGCGAACGCUGGCGGCAGGCUUAACACAUGCAAGUCGAGCGCCCCGCAAGGGGAGCGGCAGACGGGUGAGUAACACGUGGGAACGUACCCUUUGGUUCGGAACAACCCAGGGAAACUUGGGCUAAUACCGGAUAAGUCCGCGAGGAGAAAGAUUUAUCGCCGAAGGCUCGGCCCGCGUCUGAUUAGCUAGUUGGUGUGGUAACGGCGCACCAAGGCGACGAUCAGUAGCUGGUCUGAGAGGAUGAUCAGCCACACUGGGACUGAGACACGGCCCAGACUCCUACGGGAGGCAGCAGUGGGGAAUAUUGGACAAUGGGGGCAACCCUGAUCCAGCCAUGCCGCGUGAGUGAUGAAGGCCCUAGGGUUGUAAAGCUCUUUCGGUGGGGAAGAUAAUGACGGUACCCACAGAAGAAGCCCCGGCUAACUUCGUG
rnacentral:rRNA from 1 species